AAUAAUUAGAAGUGGCAGUAUCGCAGGCAAUGAGGUUAAUCCGAGACACGAUUACUGCUAAUUGAAAACUUUUCUAGAUGGUAAAUGGCAGUAAACGACCAGUUCAUUCAUUGUACUGAAUCAGU
rnacentral:snRNA from 1 species